rnacentral:tRNA from 1 species
CCUGUGGCUUAGACGGUAAAGCAUCUGCCUGCAAUGUGGAAGACCCAGGUUUGAUCCCUGGGUCAGGA